UACAGAGGGUGCUAGCGUUAUUCGGAUUUACUGGGCGUAAAGCGCGCGCGGGCUGUUUAGCAAGUCUACUGUGAAAGCCUCCGUUUCAAGCGGGAGAAGUGCAGUAGAUACUACUAGACUAGAGUGCAGGGAGGGAGGAGCGGAAUUCCAGGUGGUAGAGGUGAAAUUCGUAGAUAUCUGGAGGAACAACGGUGGCGAAGGCGGCUCCUUGGACUGUAACUGACGCUGAGGCGCGAAAGCGUGGGGAGCAAACAGG
rnacentral:rRNA from 1 species